rnacentral:rRNA from 1 species
GAACGGGGAGCAGCCCAGAGCCUGAAUCAGUGUGUGUGUUAGUGGAAGCGUCUGGAAAGGCGUGCGAUACAGGGUGACAGCCCCGUACACAAAAAUGCACAUGCUGUGAGCUCGAUGAGUAGGGCGGGACACGUGGUAUCCUGUCUGAAUAUGGGGGGACCAUCCUCCAAGGCUAAAUACUCCUGACUGACCGAUAGUGAACCAGUACCGUGAGGGAAAGGCGAAAAGAACCCCGGCGAGGGGAGUGAAAAAGAACCUGAAACCGUGUACGUACAAGCAGUGGGAGCACGCUUAGGCGUGUGACUGCGUACCUUUUGUAUAAUGGGUCAGCGACUUAUAUUCUGUAGCAAGGUUAACCGAAUAGGGGAGCCGAAGGGAAACCGAGUCUUAACUGGGCGUUAAGUUGCAGGGUAUAGACCCGAAACCCGGUGAUCUAGCCAUGGGCAGGUUGAAGGUUGGGUAACACUAACUGGAGGACCGAACCGACUAAUGUUGAAAAAUUAGCGGAUGACUUGUGGCUGGGGGUGAAAGGCCAAUCAAACCGGGAGAUAGCUGGUUCUCCCCGAAAGCUAUUUAGGUAGCGCCUCGUGAAUUCAUCUCCGGGGGUAGAGCACUGUUUCGGCAAGGGGGUCAUCCCGACUUACCAACCCGAUGCAAACUGCGAAUACCGGAGAAUGUUAUCACGGGAGACACACGGCGGGUGCUAACGUCCGUCGUGAAGAGGGAAACAACCCAGACCGCCAGCUAAGGUCCCAAAGUCAUGGUUAAGUGGGAAACGAUGUGGGAAGGCCCAGACAGCCAGGAUGUUGGCUUAGAAGCAGCCAUCAUUUAAAGAAAGCGUAAUAGCUCACUGGUCGAGUCGGCCUGCGCGGAAGAUGUAACGGGGCUAAACCAUGCACCGAAGCUGCGGCAGCGACACUGUGUGUUGUUGGGUAGGGGAGCGUUCUGUAAGCCUGCGAAGGUGUGCUGUGAGGCAUGCUGGAGGUAUCAGAAGUGCGAAUGCUGACAUAAGUAACGAUAAAGCGGGUGAAAAGCCCGCUCGCCGGAAGACCAAGGGUUCCUGUCCAACGUUAAUCGGGGCAGGGUGAGUCGACCCCUAAGGCGAGGCCGAAAGGCGUAGUCGAUGGGAAACAGGUUAAUAUUCCUGUACUUGGUGUUACUGCGAAGGGGGGACGGAGAAGGCUAUGUUGGCCGGGCGACGGUUGUCCCGGUUUAAGCGUGUAGGCUGGUUUUCCAGGCAAAUCCGGAAAAUCAAGGCUGAGGCGUGAUGACGAGGCACUACGGUGCUGAAGCAACAAAUGCCCUGCUUCCAGGAAAAGCCUCUAAGCAUCAGGUAACAUCAAAUCGUACCCCAAACCGACACAGGUGGUCAGGUAGAGAAUACCAAGGCGCUUGAGAGAACUCGGGUGAAGGAACUAGGCAAAAUGGUGCCGUAACUUCGGGAGAAGGCACGCUGAUAUGUAGGUGAAGUCCCUCGCGGAUGGAGCUGAAAUCAGUCGAAGAUACCAGCUGGCUGCAACUGUUUAUUAAAAACACAGCACUGUGCAAACACGAAAGUGGACGUAUACGGUGUGACGCCUGCCCGGUGCCGGAAGGUUAAUUGAUGGGGUCAGCGCAAGCGAAGCUCUUGAUCGAAGCCCCGGUAAACGGCGGCCGUAACUAUAACGGUCCUAAGGUAGCGAAAUUCCUUGUCGGGUAAGUUCCGACCUGCACGAAUGGCGUAAUGAUGGCCAGGCUGUCUCCACCCGAGACUCAGUGAAAUUGAACUCGCUGUGAAGAUGCAGUGUACCCGCGGCAAGACGGAAAGACCCCGUGAACCUUUACUAUAGCUUGACACUGAACAUUGAGCCUUGAUGUGUAGGAUAGGUGGGAGGCUUUGAAGUGUGGACGCCAGUCUGCAUGGAGCCGGCCUUGAAAUACCACCCUUUAAUGUUUGAUGUUCUAACGUUGACCCGUGAUCCGGGUUGCGGACAGUGUCUGGUGGGUAGUUUGACUGGGGCGGUCUCCUCCUAAAGAGUAACGGAGGAGCACGAAGGUUGGCUAAUCCUGGUCGGACAUCAGGAGGUUAGUGCAAUGGCAUAAGCCAGCUUGACUGCGAGCGUGACGGCGCGAGCAGGUGCGAAAGCAGGUCAUAGUGAUCCGGUGGUUCUGAAUGGAAGGGCCAUCGCUCAACGGAUAAAAGGUACUCCGGGGAUAACAGGCUGAUACCGCCCAAGAGUUCAUAUCGACGGCGGUGUUUGGCACCUCGAUGUCGGCUCAUCACAUCCUGGGGCUGAAGUAGGUCCCAAGGGUAUGGCUGUUCGCCAUUUAAAGUGGUACGCGAGCUGGGUUUAGAACGUCGUGAGACAGUUCGGUCCCUAUCUGCCGUGGGCGCUGGAGAACUGAGGGGGGCUGCUCCUAGUACGAGAGGACCGGAGUGGACGCAUCACUGGUGUUCGGGUUGUCAUGCCAAUGGCACUGCCCGGUAGCUAAAUGCGGAAGAGAUAAGUGCUGAAAGCAUCUAAGCACGAAACUUGCCCCGAGAUGAGUUCUCCCUGACUCCUUGAGAGUCCUGAAGGAACGUUGAAGACGACGACGUUGAUAGGCCGGGUGUGUAAGCGCAGCGAUGCGUUGAGCUAACCGGUACUAAUGAACCGUGAGG